rnacentral:tRNA from 1 species
GCACCUGUAGCUCAGCAGGAUAGAGCAUCGGCCUUCUAAGCCGAGGGUCAGGGGUUCGAAUCCCUUCAGGCGCACCA